AUUGAACGCUGGCGGCAGGCCUAACACAUGCAAGUCGAACGGUAACAGGAAACAGCUUGCUGUUUCGCUGACGAGUGGCGGACGGGUGAGUAAUGUCUGGGAAACUGCCUGAUGGAGGGGGAUAACUACUGGAAACGGUAGCUAAUACCGCAUAACGUCGCAAGACCAAAGAGGGGGACCUUCGGGCCUCUUGCCAUCGGAUGUGCCCAGAUGGGAUUAGCUAGUAGGUGGGGUAACGGCUCACCUAGGCGACGAUCCCUAGCUGGUCUGAGAGGAUGACCAGCCGCACUGGAACUGAGACACGGUCCAGACCCCUACGGGAGGCAGCAGUGGGGAAUAUUGCACAAUGGGCGCAAGCCUGAUGCAGCCAUGCCGCGUGUAUGAAGAAGGCCUUCGGGUUGUAAAGUACUUUCAGCGGGGAUGAAGGGAGUAAAGUUAAUACCUUUGCUCAUUGACGUUACCCGCAGAAGAAGCACCGGCUAACUCCGUG
rnacentral:rRNA from 1 species